AGGGCUGUAGUUAAUUAUAACAUUUGGUUUGCAAUCAGAAAGUACCGUAAAAGUCUGCCUUA
rnacentral:tRNA from 1 species